rnacentral:rRNA from 1 species
CCCUUAGAUGUUCUGGGCCGCACGCGCGCUACACUGAUGCAUUCAACGAGUCUAAAACCUGCUCUGAUAGGGGUGGGUAAUCUUUUGAAUGUGCAUCGUGAUUGGGAUAGAUGAUUGCAAUUUUUCAUCUUCAACGAGGAAUGCCUAGUAAACGCAAGUCAUCAGCUUGCAUUGAUUACGUCCCUGCCCUUUGUACACACCGCCCGUCGCUCCUACCGAUUGAAUGAUCCGAUGAAUAUCAUGGAUUGAGGAUGUAAGCAGGUUCGCCUGUCUUCAUCUUCGAGAAGUGAAGUAAAUCUUAUCGUUUAGAGGAAGGAGAAGUCGUAACA